rnacentral:lncRNA from 1 species
GCUUCCCUGGGGAUGGGGGAGGGGGCUUCUCUCAUAUUCCCUGGUUACCUAGCAACUUGUCUCCUUGCAGACAAGUCACCGCCCCUGCAGAGAUGCUGGCUAAUGUGCACACAACAAAGGGAAAGUGACACCACCACUCCAGUUCCCCCCUUGGAAGGCCUCCCUGUUCAUUAGCACUGUGAUAAGUGGCUUGCUAUGGGCAGGCCCUCCCCUGACACCCCUCCCACCUCCGGAUUAAGCCAGCCACACUGCUCCUCCUGGGGAUCUUGGAGAGAUGGCAGCUUGUCAAGCUCCUGAGACACUGGGCAUCCUAGACACACGCGACAGCCUCCAAAAUGGGAGAAGACACCUUCUCCAGGAAAUGUCCCAAGCUCUGCAUAUGGUCCAGAAGCCCACCCUUAAAGCAGCCACUGACAAGGAAAAUGGGAUUAUCCGGAUUGGCUCAAGGAAAUCCUCAUUUACCCCUGGAUGGAAACUAAAGUGACCAACACAGAGCAUGAGAGGUACCUUCACGUGAAGGAGUGUGGACAACAACCACAAACUCAGAGCUCCUGCUGUUAUCACUAAGGCAGUCAACAGUGUCUACUACAAGUGACAUCAAGUAAUAUUUAUCAUCACCAAAUAGCAUUUAUCAACGCUAGUAGAGUUCUCAUCUCAAUUUAGAAAAAUCCAAAAUCAAAGUAGACUAUAGAUAAGGUAAAUGGGGAUGUCUAUCACAGUGAUGACAGUUUUACAGUUUUUCCCAAACUCUUUUUAUUUUGAGAGCUCGGUUGGAGUUAUCAAAACAUCCAAGUUGUCCCAAUCAUUUCAAAACUUUUAAAAACAUUAUUUAUGAAUGUUCUCUUUGGGACGUGGCUUUUUUUUUUAACAAUGAAAAAGGGCAGAAGUAGUAAAAUAUGCUAAGAAAUGUGUAGUAACCAAAGAGAUAUGUUAUCCUUCCUAAGAGACAGGGUUUUAUGGGAUUCCUGAUUCUUUUUUGUAUCUGAUUGUUGAGGUCUUGACAGCUUUUCAAUUGAGGAAUACAGUCAUGUCUGUUAAACUAAUUGUAGCUGUUCACUCCACUAUAUAAUUUUACAACAUUUCAGCUUCAAAUAGAAUAGCUUCAAUAAACAUAAAGCCGACUGACA